rnacentral:rRNA from 1 species
GGUUAAGCGACUAAGCGUACACGGUGGAUGCCCUGGCAGUCAGAGGCGAUGAAGGACGUGCUAAUCUGCGAUAAGCGUCGGUAAGGUGAUAUGAACCGUUAUAACCGGCGAUUUCCGAAUGGGGAAACCCAGUGUGAUUCGUCACACUAUCAUUAACUGAAUCCAUAGGUUAAUGAGGCGAACCGGGGGAACUGAAACAUCUAAGUACCCCGAGGAAAAGAAAUCAACCGAGAUUCCCCCAGUAGCGGCGAGCGAACGGGGAGCAGCCCAGAGCCUGAAUCAGUGUGUGUGUUAGUGGAAGCGUCUGGAAAGGCGUGCGAUACAGGGUGACAGCCCCGUACACAAAAAUGCACAUACUGUGAGCUCGAUGAGUAGGGCGGGACACGUGGUAUCCUGUCUGAAUAUGGGGGGACCAUCCUCCAAGGCUAAAUACUCCUGACUGACCGAUAGUGAACCAGUACCGUGAGGGAAAGGCGAAAAGAACCCCGGCGAGGGGAGUGAAAAAGAACCUGAAACCGUGUACGUACAAGCAGUGGGAGCACGCUUAGGCGUGUGACUGCGUACCUUUUGUAUAAUGGGUCAGCGACUUAUAUUCUGUAGCAAGGUUAACCGAAUAGGGGAGCCGAAGGGAAACCGAGUCUUAACUGGGCGUUAAGUUGCAGGGUAUAGACCCGAAACCCGGUGAUCUAGCCAUGGGCAGGUUGAAGGUUGGGUAACACUAACUGGAGGACCGAACCGACUAAUGUUGAAAAAUUAGCGGAUGACUUGUGGCUGGGGGUGAAAGGCCAAUCAAACCGGGAGAUAGCUGGUUCUCCCCGAAAGCUAUUUAGGUAGCGCCUCGUGAAUUCAUCUCCGGGGGUAGAGCACUGUUUCGGCAAGGGGGUCAUCCCGACUUACCAACCCGAUGCAAACUGCGAAUACCGGAGAAUGUUAUCACGGGAGACACACGGCGGGUGCUAACGUCCGUCGUGAAGAGGGAAACAACCCAGACCGCCAGCUAAGGUCCCAAAGUCAUGGUUAAGUGGGAAACGAUGUGGGAAGGCCCAGACAGCCAGGAUGUUGGCUUAGAAGCAGCCAUCAUUUAAAGAAAGCGUAAUAGCUCACUGGUCGAGUCGGCCUGCGCGGAAGAUGUAACGGGGCUAAACCAUGCACCGAAGCUGCGGCAGCGACGCUUAUGCGUUGUUGGGUAGGGGAGCGUUCUGUAAGCCUGUGAAGGUGUGCUGUGAGGUAUGCUGGAGGUAUCAGAAGUGCGAAUGCUGACAUAAGUAACGAUAAAGCGGGUGAAAAGCCCGCUCGCCGGAAGACCAAGGGUUCCUGUCCAACGUUAAUCGGGGCAGGGUGAGUCGACCCCUAAGGCGAGGCCGAAAGGCGUAGUCGAUGGGAAACAGGUUAAUAUUCCUGUACUUGGUGUUACUGCGAAGGGGGGACGGAGAAGGCUAUGUUGGCCGGGCGACGGUUGUCCCGGUUUAAGCGUGUAGGCUGGUUUUCCAGGCAAAUCCGGA